GCACCAUUAUCCGGGGCUCGUGGACACAGCAAAGCUCGUGGACGCAGUAAAGUCCGAGAAUUGGCACCUGGGUGCUUCUGAUUCUCGAGUCUGCAUCUCCUGGAAUUCCGAUGCAGAGCUCUCUAGGUCCCCGGCACUUCAGGUGCUAAGCAUAAGCUCCUAGGCGUCGCACCUACCACCUCAAAUAUUUCUCAGAUAUUAAGAUCCUACCAUGUGGUCCUCUGAGCUUCGUCUCUGGUGUCGGCUUCUUCCAUUUACUCCAACCAGGAGCACAUUCGCUCAUUCAGCCAGACAUGGCAGCAUUUCAGGACUUGGGGGGGGGGGGUGAGACAGGGUCUUGUUAUGUAGUCCAAUCUCUCUUGAACUCACUAUGUAGUCCAGAAUGGCCUGAACUUGCGAUUCCCCUCCCUCAGCCUCCCGAGUUUCGAGAUUACAGUUGUGUGGCACCACGCCUGACUGCAGUGUGAUCUUUUAAAAUCCAGACCUGCCUUGCUGGUCAACCAGGACCGCGUGUUCCUUCACGAGCCCGGAGCCCGACAGCCUCUCCUGCAUCCUCACGCCGGGCUCUGGCCACGCCCCCCUGCCAGGGGCUCACCCGCGCCCCUCCUCGGCAGCUGCGCCUCGCCGGGCCUCUCCGGGCCUCGCCGGGCCCCGGGAGGGGAAGGGGCUCCACCUGCGCGCCACCUGCUGGGCCGCCCGACCUCCCGCAGACCCGGCCAGACCUCGGCGAAGCUCACGCCUCCGGGCUGCACAUCCGCGCCGGCCGCAAGCUCCAGGACGCGGCGGCGAGCCUGAGCCGCUGCGCAUGCGCGCAGGUGCGCGUGCACGCAACAGCCCGCACGCACCGGCACGCACGCGCCCGGCCAGUGAGACUAGGAAGGACAGGUUUGGGUUUGGGGUUUUUUGUUUGUUUGUUUGUUUGUUUGGGGGGGCCUUCGCGCUGAGCUGCAUCCUCGGCCCUUUUUAUUUGCCGACAGAAUCUGGAUGAGUCAGUAAGUUGUCCUGGCGGGGCUUCUCCUUCCUCAGGCUCCCUCGUGCUGAACUCUGGGCGCGCGCCCAGCUGAGGACGUGGCCCGAGGGAGGGAGGUCAGCGGGAGCUUCACAACGUUUGGCCCUGGUUGUGCGCCCUGCAGGGUGUGCCGUGAAGCUGUUGGUGGUUCUGAGUGAUGAGUUCUAAUAAGCCACAUCCUGUAGGACAUCAGCACACCUUUGGGGGCAACACAGGACUGAGAUGUAGCCUGCACAGGUCAGAGGUCCAAAGUGAGUUUCACUGGACAAACAUCAAGGUGUCAGUAGGUUGGGGCACUGCGACUCAAGCCUGGGUUCCUGGUACUCUGGAGGUGAAGGUGGACAAUCUGAUCCUGGGAGUUCAAGACCAACCUGGACAACACAGCCAGAGCCUGUCUGUAAAAAUGUAAAUAAAAUCAAUUUAAAAAGA
rnacentral:lncRNA from 1 species